ACGGGUGAGUAAUGUCUGGGAAACUGCCUGAUGGAGGGGGAUAACUACUGGAAACGGUAGCUAAUACCGCAUAACGUCGCAAGACCAAAGAGGGGGACCUUCGGGCCUCUUGCCAUCGGAUGUGCCCAGAUGGGAUUAGCUAGUAGGUGGGGUAACAGCUCACCUAGGCGACAAUCCCUAGCUGGUCUGAGAGGAUGACCAGCCACACUGGAACUGAGACACGGUCCAGACUCCUACGGGAGGCAGCAUG
rnacentral:rRNA from 1 species